rnacentral:rRNA from 1 species
UGCAGAAUCCCGUGAACCAUCGAGUCUUUGAACGCAAGUUGCGCCCGAGGCCUUCUGGCCAAGGGCACGUCUGCCUGGGCGUCACGCAAACGACGCUCCGCCCUCUCCGCCCCUUGGGCGGGCGGCGGACGCGGACGAUGGCCCUCCGCGCCCACGGACGCGGUGGGCUGAAGCAUGGGCCGUCGGCAGGGACCGAGACACGGCGAGUGGUGGACGUAUCUUCACGCGAGCCGGACGUUGUGCCUUAGGCACCCUUCGAGGAAGGCCCUCCAGACCCUUUUAACCGAGGCGCUUGCCGUCAUCGGACCGCGACCCCAGGUCAGGCGGGACUACCCGCUGAGUUUAAGCAUAUAAAUAAGCGGAGGAGAAGAAACUUACAAGGAUUCCCCUAGUAACGGCGAGCGAACCGGGAACUGCCCAGCUUGAGAAUCGGACGGCUUCGUCGUUCGA